rnacentral:rRNA from 1 species
AUUGAACGCUGGCGGCAUGCUUUACACAUGCAAGUCGAACGAGUGGCGAACGGGUGAGUAAUAUAUCGGAACGUACCCAGUAAUGGGGGAUAACAAAUCGAAAGAUUGGCUAAUACCGCAUAUUAUUCGAGCUGCCGAUAACUGAUUAACUAGUUGGUGGGGUAAAGGACUGCCAAGGCGACGAUCAGUAGCGGGUCUGAGAGGACGAUCGGCCACACUGGGACUGAGACACGGCCAAGAAUCCUACGGGAGGCAGCAGUGGGGAAUUUUAGACAAUGGGGGCAACCCUGAUCCAGCCAUGCCGCGUGUAUGAAGAAGGCCUUCGGGGUGUAAAGUACUUUUGUUAGGGAAGCGGUACCUAAAGAAUAAGCACCGGCUAACUACGUGCCAGCAGCCGCGGUAAUAC